rnacentral:rRNA from 1 species
GAUGAAUGCUGGCGGCGUGCCUAAUACAUGCAAGUCGAGCGAACAGACGAGGAGCUUGCUCCUCUGACGUUAGCGGCGGACGGGUGAGUAACACGUGGAUAACCUACCUAUAAGACUGGGAUAACUUCGGGAAACCGGAGCUAAUACCGGAUAAUAUAUUGAACCGCAUGGUUCAAUAGUGAAAGACGGUUUUGCUGUCACUUAUAGAUGGAUCCGCGCCGCAUUAGCUAGUUGGUAAGGUAACGGCUUACCAAGGCAACGAUGCGUAGCCGACCUGAGAGGGUGAUCGGCCACACUGGAACUGAGACACGGUCCAGACUCCUACGGGAGGCAGCAGUAGGGAAUCUUCCGCAAUAGGCGAAAGCCUGACGGAGCAACGCCGCGUGAGUGAUGAAGGUCUUCGGAUCGUAAAACUCUGUUAUUAGGGAAGAACAAAUGUGUAAGUAACUAUGCACGUCUUGACGGUACCUAAUCAGAAAGCCACGGCUAACUACGUG